rnacentral:rRNA from 1 species
AUUGAACGCUGGCGGCAUGCCUUACACAUGCAAGUCGACGGUAACAGGUCUUCGGAUGCUGACGAGUGGCGAACGGGUGAGUAAUACAUCGGAACGUGCCCGAUCGUGGGGGAUAACGGAGCGAAAGCUUUGCUAAUACCGCAUACGAUCUACGGAUGAAAGCAGGGGAUCGCAAGACCUCUCGCUAUCAGAUGAGCCCA